GGGCGAACCGAAAAACUCAGCUUUUCGGAGCGGACCAAUCUUCCAUGCCGCCCCCCCUUACUCUCUCUCUAUAAAAAAGCCUGCGGGAAGCGCGAAGAGCUAAGCCACUAAUGUCGUGGCGAAGGUUAGACCUCAUAAAGUCAGCGAAGCUAAGGUUUCGUAUGUGUUAUAUCCUUUCGAUCGAGCGAGAACUUAUAAGGAAGGCCUUCAUUGCCCUUUGAAAAAAGUCAAAAAAAAAGAGCGCUAGGGAAGAGAGAAAGUUGCAGAAGUGCUUCUAGAUCUCAUGGAAUAAGGCAGAAUUUCUAACAAAACUUUCCACCUCUUGCUUUCAUAGAAAAAAGAAUUUAGGAGAUGAAAUCCCGAUUACAUUACUGCAGGCCAAAAUUGGAUUUGAAAGAGCAAGCCAGAGAAAAGAGGCGUUGAGAUAAUACCUUUCAUCCUAAUCUCAUCUACUGAAAAAGGGAGCCCCCUUGAUCACCUGAAGAGAUUUUUAGGCAGAAUUGGCAUAAUUAUUACCGUGAGGAUUGAGCUGCCAAAGAGAUUAUCCUCCUUUGGGCUGGAAGAUAAGAUUUAUGCAGUCCAUAGAAAAAGAAAAAGAAGAAAGUAUUCUGAAGCCAAAUGCUCUUGGAUGGGUAGUUGAAUAGGGGGAUAAAUCCUUUUUUCUCCUUUAUAUUGAAUGUAGUCAAUCAUUUUGAGGUCAUGAGAACAAAGAGUCAUAGAGAUGUGAGAAGUUUUGCUUUCGCUAUCGACUGACCGUCCUGUUAGCAGUGCUAUACUAGAUUGGCACCCUAACUGUACCUAUACAGCUACUCCUUGUCAGUUGCUAUAUUUUUCACCUUGAGGCCGAGAGGUUAACUCCUUCCACUCUCAACCGCCUUGCUUAUCUUACUAGUAGCUCUAUCUAUUGGUACCAGCCAGGGAACUCCCUCUUUGCGAGCUACUUACUUUAUCUGAACCCUCUACCGACAGAUGCGCGAAUUGCAUUGGUCAUUGUGCGGAAUGCCCUCUAAGCCAGUCAGUCAAUGGAGGGACCGGGGCGCUAGGUAUUUUCUUUCUUCUGGCCGUAGGUGUGAUCAAUGCCAUUGAGCUUCGGUACUCUAAAAUAGUAGUCGGAAUUCGCUUCUGAGUGAGCUUCCUUCCUUAUGCUCUGGCCUGACCUUCACGAACAGCUUUCUUUCAGCUACCAACUUCAAAGCUUGAUCUCAUCUCUCUUCUUUUGAAAGUUUAGUACUAUUAUUGUUGGCAUGGAAGGAGUUCAUCUUGAAUUGCUAGUACAGUGAUUGGAGGCCUUCCUCACCUGUUCUAGUGACAUAGGCCCAUCCGGUCGAGAGAAGAGACUUGAGAUUAGCCACUAGGUGAAGUACCAAGGAGAGGAUCGGCUUCAGCCAUAACCAAUACGGAGGGAUUGACAUAGUAAAGGAGGCUAAACAAAGCUAUCAAAGGAAUGUGCCCAGGCUCGGAAUAUCCUUCUUUCGUACCCAAGAGUAGCCCUAUUUCUAAUAGGAGCAAUUCAAGCAUUAAUUAGUACUACCUCGGAAAGGAAGGAGAAUAAGGGAAGGUGCCAAGUAGCUGAUUGCACAUUACUAAGGCAAGGAAUAAGACGUCUGAGAAGGGAUGCCGAAAAAAGGCUUCAAUUUAAUCUGGUGCAAAGUCAGUAGUACUAGGGCCUUCGAGUUGGAAUUUCCAACUAUAAACAAGUAUAGCGAAGUCACCUCCAUUCUCGAUUUCUAUUGUGACAGAGGGAGGUAUCAUAAUAGAGUCAAAAUCACGAUUAGAGUCAGUCCGGAUAAAAGGAAGAAUCCAAUCCCCUUCUUCCUGAUCUUAUUGGCCUUACAGCGGGCCUAAGAGCAAGGAAGUCUCAACUCCCCAAUCCCCCAGGGUGAGGGGUGAACCUUCUGUCUGAUUCAAUCUCAUCUAUUGCUGCUUUCGAAUCGGCUGAAAGAGUAUUUUGAUGUCACUUAGGAGAAGUAUAGGGAAGUGUGCCUGAGUCUUCUAUAAUAAGUAGUUGUGACUCGGUCUAGCUAGGACAGAGCCAUCCUAAAGAGACUUUCUUCUGUUCUAGGUUUCCACAAAGCGGUAUCAGGGUAUGAGAACGCCUUUCUCCUAUAUAUAAUCAAGUCUUUGGUUUAGAUCAAUCAAUCCUCAAUCCGGGCUCAAUGACCGGAAUGAAUGGCUUUCUCCUGUCUCCUCAUGGAUCCAACUAUUAGGUUCGUGGGUUGUGGUCCGUGCCUAAAGCAACUCUUUUCCAUUCGCGAACGUUUAAGAAGUCAUCUCCUGAUUCGUUGAUCUAUUGAGCUAAGGCAGCUCUGCAUAUAGUGUUUUAGACUCAUACUUCAUCGCCGCCCGGUCCUUUCGAACCUUAAUCUUAAGAAAUUCCUAAACGAGGAAAGCGGUAUGUAUGGUUGGCGUAUGCCUGGAAACUAGUCCAGAAUGAUAUCAUCAACUGCACGAUAGACCAUGAGUAAGCACUUUUGACAGCAAGAGAAGAGUCCUCCUCCUCACAAGGACCGACUCCUUUAGGUGCGAGGUGCGAUCAACCGCGAAAAGUCAGUAAUAAAGAAUCCGCUCUCGGUAAGCGAAAGGAAAGCAGGUCAAAGCCUGCCAAGGCGUCAGGCAGUUCGACAAAGGCAGAAAGAGUCUCCGUCCUGAACACAGAAGGAAGGCGGGUUUGUCAAUGCUUGAACUGAUUGAUCUAAGUGAGCUACGAGGUUAGUCUUCUAGGAUCAACUUGCUUCAAAGUGCCCAUUAAUUAUUUGUUAAUUUCAGGAAUGAUCCUAUCAUUUAUUAUGUACUAGGCUUAUCUAAUGAAUUGAGUCUUCCAAGAAAGGUUUCUAAUGAAUCUGCUAAUUGAGGUUCUAGAUUUGUUCAAAAGGCAGAAGGAAUAGGCUAAGGGCUGUGCCAAACUCCACUUUUGCUGUUGCCAGGUUGAAUGAUUCAUUCAACCGGUAUCGGCAACCAAGACACCCUCUCUGUCGAAUGAAUCUUCAAAUCAUCAUCUUCAACACCACGACUCCGAUCACGGUUUCCGGUUGACUUUAUCUGAAAUCUUCUUGAGGGGAGUCUUCGCUUUUUUUUACAGGAUUGGAUCAACGGGGUAAAGAUUCCAGUGUUACCAUAUCGAAUACGUGCUUAAUAUGAGGUAAAGAUAAGGGUUAGGAUAACAACACACGUAGCCAGACCAAGGUGCGGAGUGAGUUUUCUAGAUCCCGGACCAAGGAUUUAGAAACACAUAACUUAUCACUUUGCAUGCAAGUACUAGGAUAGAAUUGUUAUAGCUAGAAUUAUCAAGUUAUAAAACUUUGGGGGAACACGUAAACCCUAGUUUACUUUGAUUAUUGAUUAAAAUCCAACAUUCAAAGCGGUAAGUGUCUCUUUCAAAGGUAUUUAUUUUCAUUCAUUUAGAAAUAGAAACCCCCUUUUAUGUUUUUACUUUCCAAGGAGUAAUUGACUAAACCAAAGUAAUAAUAAAUUGAAUUUAAGUCUAGACUAUUUCAUCGUGGGAACGAUCCCCUCACUAGUUAGGUUAUUUACUUAACAUGCCUGCGUUACUCUAUUUGAGAGUAAGUUUGAGCGUAUCAGCGCCGACUGAGAACCUGCAAAGUUUUCUGGAGUCGACUUAAAGAGAUGGCAGUAGAAGAUCUUCUUCUAAUCACUCGUUGAGUAUAGAGAGGUUCAUUAAUAGAAUGUUCCUGUUAUGUCAUAAUUAUAAUCCGCCUGAAGAAUGAUUCUUCGUAAUAGAUGUGGACCACCCUCAGAUUUUUUGUGUAAAAAUUAUAUUCUGAAAUGGCCUGUAAGAUAAUCUGUUACAAUGUGUAUAACAAUGUCAAAACCUAAAAAAACUUUGGGAUGCUUUAGAAAAGAAAUACAAAUCAGAGGAUGCCGGAAUGAAGAUGUUAAUUGUAGCAUUGUUUCUAGAUUAGAAGAUAAUAGAUGGGUUUGACCGUCUUCACCCACGUUCAAGAACUGUAGGUCAUAAUCCAUGAUCUCCUUGCUGAAGGUAUAAAUUUAUUUAUGCAUAUCUUAGAAAUACAAGUUUUCCUUAAUACUCACACAAUGUUUAAUGUAGGAUUGAUUGUGAAUGAUUCCUUUCAAGUGGCUAGAAUUAUUGAAAAGUUACAUUCAAUGUGGAAGGAAUUUAAAAAGUACUUGAAACAAAACAAGGAGAUGACUAUUGAAGAUCUCAAAAUAAGAUUGAGAAUCGAAGUUUCUAAUAAUAUGCAUAAAAAAGGUCACGUGGUAAUUCAACAAAAUCUGGAGUAAAUAUUUUGAAGAAGAUCCCACAAUAGUAAAAGAAAAGAAAGAAAGCAUCUUGUCCAAAAAGCAAUCCCCUAAUAAGAAUUCAAUAGAAACUGCUUCAAUUGUGGUAAAGAUGGUCAUUGGCUACUGAAUUUCGGGCUCCUAAGAAGUACAAAAAAAGAAGGAUCAAGCAAACUUGGGUGAAUCCAAAGGGAAAUGUACGAGUUCUGUGCAAGUUUUAAGAAUGUAACUUGCUUGGAAAAACAAGAGAAUGGGAUAGAUUUUGUUGCCUCAAGCCAUAUUUGUGCCAACAAAAAAUAAUUUUCAUCAUAUACUGCAGCACCUAUAGAAAGAAGUUGUUUAUGGCAAAACCGUUGUGGCAAAGGGAGAAGAACUGACAAUGUCUAUUAAAGAUGACAUCAGGUAAGGUGGUAUCUUUGAAUAGGGUCUCGUAAGUCCGAAAUUUAGAAAGAAUUAGUAUAAAUUCGAAUUCUAACAUAGAAUGGUUCAAAUGUGUAUUUUGUUUCUAAUAAAGUAGUAGUACGUAAGAAUGAUAUGUUUGUAUGAAAAUACUACCUCAGGAUGACAUUUUCAAACUCAAUGUAAUUGUAAUGUAUAAAAUAAGGAUUUUUCUUCCUCUUACUUGCUUGAGUCUAAAUUUUUAUGGCAUGAACAUUUGGAAGACGUUAAUAACAAACUCUUGCGAAAAUUGAUUAAUAAAAUUUUUUCUAAAAUUUAAGUGCAAUAAAUAAAAAUGUCAAAUUUCCGUUGAAUCUAAUUAUGCUAAGGAUCCUUAUAAAUCUAAUAAAACGAAUUCAAAUCCUUGAGAUUGAUUCACGUGGUGGAAAAAGGAUUUCAUAACUUUUAUUGAAGAUUUACUAGAUAUUGUUAUGUCUAUUUGCUAACUGGUAAGAAUGAAGCAAUAGAUGAAUUUAGGCAAUAUACAACUGAAGUUGAAAAUUAGUUGGAUAAAAGAUCAAAAUGAUCUGAAGUGAUAGAGCCCAGAGAUAUACAAUCUCCUUUUGCAGAAAUAUGUUAAAAAUGGAAUCAUCCAUCAAACUAGUCCGUACACUCCUCAAUCUAAUGGGAUUGUAGAAAGGAAAACAAUCUUUAAAAGAUAUGAGAUUGCGUUACUAUAAGUUAAGGUUUACCACAGAACUUGUGGGGGGGAAGCUAUCCUAAAGAAAAUCGAAUACUUAAUAAUAGAUACCUCACUAUAAGACACAUGAUUCCAUAUAAGAAAUGAAAAGUUAGAAAACCUAACUUAAAAUAUUCAAAGUGUGGGGGUUUCUAUCAAAGUCUAACGUUGUUAUACCUAAGAGGGUAAAAAUAGGUCCUAAGAAUGUGGAUUGUGUAUUCAUUUGAUAUGCCACAAACAGUAAUGCAUGUUGAUUUUGUGUUCAUAAGUUUGAGCAUCCCAUAUUCAUGAUAAUACUGUAAUGGAAUCAUAUAGUGCUAAAAUUUUUAAACAUAUCUAUCCGUAUAAAACUAGACUUGAGUCAUCUAGGGGGGGGUCUAAACAAACCAUAGAAGAACCAAAAGAAAAUGAACCCAAUGAAGAGAGUCCGAGAUGCAGUAACGUCAAAGGCACAUCUACUUGAUUUGGAUAUGAUUUUGUAACAUUUCUUCUUGAAGUGACCCUUAAAUAUUCAAGAAAGCAAUGUUGUCUAGCGACUCAACCUCUUGUAAAGAGGCCAUCAAUAGUGAAAUUGAAUAAAUCCUAAGCAAUUAUACUUGGUAGUUGGUUGAUCUUCCUCUAGGGAACAAACCUUGGGUUCAAAUGGAUCUUUAAAAGGAAGAUGAAAAGAUGAUGGAACUAUUGACAAAUAAUAAAGCAAGACUUGUGUCAAUGGCUUUAGACAAAAAGAAGGUCUUUAUUAUUUAGACACAUACUCGGCAGUGACUAGGAUUACAUCAAUUCGGAUUUAAUUACCCUAGACAAUAUACGGUCUUGAAAUCCAUAAAAUGGAUGUUAAAACCGCCUUAUUAAAUGGAGAUCUCGAAGAAGAAAUUACAUAUAACAACCUGAGGGUUUUGUAGUUCCUGGUAAAGAAAAGAAAGUGUGUAAAAUUAUUAAGUCUCUUUAUGUACUAAAACAAGCACAAAACAAUGACAUGCAAAGUUGAUCAAACAUCAAAUGGAUUUAAGAUCAAUGAAUGCGAUAAAUGUGUUACAUUAAAGAUAGUCCAAAUAAGAAGUCAUUGUAUGCUGAUAUUUGGAUGAAAUUCUAUAAUGAUCAACGAUAUGCUAAUAAAAGAGCUACUAAGCAUAUGCUCUCUAUAAUGUUUGAUAUGAAAGAUUUAGAGUUGUUGAUGAUAUUGGAAUAAAAUCUCAAAAUUCUUAACGGUGUUGCAUUGUCUCAAACUCAUUAUAUUCAAAAGGUACUUGAAAAAUUCAAAUAUUUCAAUUCAAAAGGGGAAAAACUCCAUUGAUGUAAACUUUCAACUUCCAAAGAAAACUGUGAAAGUCAAGUCAAUUGGACUAUGCUAGAGUAUUGGGAAGCUUGAUGUAUGUGAUGAAUUGUACAUGACCAGACAUAGCUUACACUAUUAGUAAAGUGAUUUGAUACACAAGUAAUCUAAUCAACUCAUUGGUUGGCAAUGAACAGAGUUUGGGGAUACUUAGAUGACACUCAAAACUAUGUUUUACAUUACAACGAAUAUCCAGCAGUUCUUGAAGGAUAUAGUGAGCAAAUUGGAUUCCCUGGGUCAACUAAAAAAAUUCCACAAGUUGAGAUGUUUUACUAUUGGUGGAAGAUCAAUAUCUUGGGAAUUCUUCAAAAACAAAUAUGUAUAGCUCGCUCUACAAUAGAGUCUAAAUUCAUCGCUUUAGACAAGGCAGGUGAAGAAGCUNNNNNNNNNNNNNNNNNNNNNNNNNNNNNNNNNNNNNNNNNNNNNNNNNNNNNNNNNNNNNNNNNNNNNNNNNNNNNNNNNNNNNNNNNNNNNNNNNNNNNNNNNNNNNNNNNNNNNNNNNNNNNNNNNNNNNNNNNNNNNNNNNNNNNNNNNNNNNNNNNNNNNNNNNNNNNNNNNNNNNNNNNNNNNNNNNNNNNNNNNNNNNNNNNNNNNNNNNNNNNNNNNNNNNNNNNNNNNNNNNNNNNNNNNNNNNNNNNNNNNNNNNNNNNNNNNNNNNNNNNNNNNNNNNNNNNNNNNNNNNNNNNNNNNNNNNNNNNNNNNNNNNNNNNNNNNNNNNNNNNNNNNNNNNNNNNNNNNNNNNNNNNNNNNNNNNNNNNNNNNNNNNNNNNNNNNNNNNNNNNNNNNNNNNNNNNNNNNNNNNNNNNNNNNNNNNNNNNNNNNNNNNNNNNNNNNNNNNNNNNNNNNNNNNNNNNNNNNNNNNNNNNNNNNNNNNNNNNNNNACAAGCCCCAGCUAAAUCUAGCAAAGAUUGAAACUAAAUGGCUAAAGACUGAAAUGACACUCAUUACUAUGGUCCUCGGAGAAUGAGGACUUAUCACUGAAUCUUCUUAACUGAAGAUUCAAAAUCAAUCUAUUCGUGAUUUGGAUGGUGAGAACCUGAACCUACAUCACGAGAAGCUGUAGCGCACGUAUGCAUCAGUACUUGAAAGGUAUUGAGCAUGUAGGAUAGAGUAAAGCUGAAAAAAAUAACUAAACAACCAUAAUAGCAAGUAUAAUAAUCUGUCAUGAUAAGCUAAAUUUUCAAGUAACUAGAUGCAAUGAUCAACUAAUAACUUGUUGAAACUGAAUACUGAAUAAACUAAUAAAUGGUCAAUGUAGAGAGUCUGACUAAAUUGUGUAAGCUUCUAAUAAUUGAUAAUAAAACCAUAUGAGCUAAAAUGAAGUUCAAUGUAUACACCUCAUCUAGAGGACCCAAUAUACCAUGCCAAAGGUAUAAUGGUAUGCUGGUGUGAUCACUAAACUGAUUGCCCACAGAGGGUACUUACAACCUACUUGGUUAGAAGUUAUGGGACUACUUGGGUACACUGAACCCUAGUCCAACUCGGUUUUAUGCUACUCCCAUGAUUUCCUUAAAUUUACUGAUUAUGUUUGAGUUUCUAUUAAUACUGGAUAGCUCGCUGAACAUGCAAAUUGAGAAUGCAACAAUUAAUCUUGUAAUUUUGCAUUUAUAACUGAGGCAUGUAUAUCUAAAGUGUCUUAAAUAUCUAACCUAGCAUGUGUAAAGUAAGAACUAAAGAAAUAAAAAGCUAGGGUUCUCAAAUUCAUGCCAUAAACUGAAUAAUAACAUGAUAAUCUCAUUUGGAACAUAAAACUAAUAAGUUCAUGAAGUUAUGUUGAAGUUCUAGAAACCCUAGGUCUAAUCAUGAUAUAAUAAUCAAGAAUCAGACUGAAAACUAGGGACCCAAUGGGUGAAAGGAACCCACUUGUGAAAUCCCAGAUACCUUUUGAUGAAAUCUACGAAAAAAUACUUAAGUUUUGGGGCUGGAACUGCUGGAGCUUGUUGCGUUCUUGAACUAGGGUUCUUGAGUUUUUUCUCUUCUCUUGCUUUUAAUUUCUAAGUUUUGAUUUAAUGAUUUGACUUAGAUAUAUUUUAAUCAUGCUUCUACGCUUAAACUGACUAAGAUAUGAUGAUUUAGGGACAAAAUGACAAAUCAUAAGGUUUAAAUGAAGUGAAAAAAGACCAAAAGACCCCUCGAUAAAUUGUUGUCGUACCAAACGAUGGCCAGGACUGACGGUCCAUCAUCUGACUGACGCCUCAUCGUUGGGUUCGUCGACUGGUCUUUUAGACAAGGCUUCACUAAAACUGGCAUAACUUUCUACUCAGAGGUUUGAUUUUAGCAAGGUCAGUGGGUAUGGAAAUAUAAUUCAAUUGUCUAUCCGUGGAUAGGUGAUGGGACACCAAAUUAAUUUUGUGGUAAGAUUUAUGACCAUUUGAAGUUGACCUCACUACAUUUCCUCUUAACUAUCUGCAUAUUUUCCAUCUACAGACCGCACUGGUCAUCCGUAGGUCUUGUCAGAAAGUGGCUGAAUGGGGGUCUUGAUCAAUGAUCACGGACUACGAACCAUUGUCUGACCUACGGAUUGUAAGUCCGUAUGUUGUCCAAGACUUAACACAUUUCCUGGAGUGAAUUGUUUCGAAGUUUCUGAUCCUAUCGACGGUUGUGCAGGAAAGACCGUGGGUCAGGCUACGGUCCGUCGAUGGCACUGUUGGUUGUACCUGCAGAUUUUUUUUCUUUAAAGUUGGUUUUUGGUAUUUUUGGCUAUGGGGUUUUAAAUUUAAAUAACAAUGCGCUAGAUGCUGAUCCUGGUUAUCUGCGUCUACAUAAUAAGACGAUGAAGGACAAUUGGUAUCAGUACAUUAAAUCUACGUGUAUGCGCGUUGGAAUGCUAAUAAUAACUUAAAGCUUGAAAGGAAUAAGAAAAAAACUACGUUGGCUCUGAUCAACUCAAGAAUACACAUCUCAAUACAUAAAAGGCAACUAAAAUACAUUCUAUUUAUAUAUAUAUAUAUAUAUAUAUAUAUAUAUAUAUAUAUAUAUUUAUAUGUAUAUAAUGUUUUUUAAAAUAGUGAAACAACUUGUUCGUUAAAAAAUGCAUUAAAAAGUCAAUUUUUUUAUUAUAUAUGAAAGUAACAUAGUUUCUAUUGGGAGAUUCUUGAUACACUCAAAUUACACCUCCCUAAUGAAGCAUAAGCAAUCAUUAUAAAUUAGAGAACCCAACUAGUAGGUUGGAGUCGAUCGCACGAGGAAAAUGGUUUAGACUUAACUUGAAGCCACAAUUAUAUCUAUUCAGUUAAAGUCUUUCCAAAGCAAGUAAGUAAAAGGGUUUUUUGUGAAACAAAUUCUUUUAACAGUGUAAUUAGAAUUUGAACUAAAAUAAACUUUGGUUUUAUCAAGAUAAGAGAGUAACUAGUUUAUUUGUAUUCCCCAUAGGUUCAUAGUGCAGUAUUCCUAGCAAUAGUAAUCUUUUCCUAGUGUAUACCAUGUUAAGUGAUAGGUUAGGUAACUCUAAAUCCUUUGUCCGAUGUCAAGAGAAUUUCACCCCGUACCUUGGUCCGUCUAUAUGUGUAUAAAUAACUAACCAUUGCCAUUACCUCAUAUUAGACAUCAUAAUCGAUGUAUGGCUUAAUUAUUACUUCGCACCAAUCGACACCAACUUAUUAGAUAGUAUCACACUAAAUCUAUGUUGAUAAUUCUUUUCUUAUUAACUAGCUUCUUGGUCCGGAAAGUAGCAAAUGCGAGUUCUAACGCUGACCACCAUUAAAAGACUUCUAAACGGAAGAAUUAUCAAUACAUGCAUAACAAUAUUCAAGAAUUGCUUAAUUGCUUGUCAUAUUUUGUUAAUUACCCAUGUUUCCACAACCCUAGUUGUGGAUUAGUUACCCAUGCUACCAAGAUCGCAAUUCAUAAUUUUAGAUGAAGAAAUCAUUUAAAGAAAGAGGGUUUGAAUAAGAAAAAGAAAAGAACAGAAAGAGAGAGAAAGAGAAUCGAUCGAGAGAAAGGAACGAAGGGGAAAACGAAAAGGCUUGGGAAAUUGCUUGCUUGAUCACGAAUCUUCGGUAGAGGUAGGUUAUGGUUUUUUAUGCUAUUCGUAGUAAACUCUUAAUAGCGAAUGAUAUGUAUUGGAUAGUGUUGUAAACCCUUCUAUAUGCUUAAUUGUAUGCUUGCAUGAAUGUGAUUAUAUAAUUGUGAUAGAAUAAGCAUGAUGAAGCUAUUGAAUCCUAAAUCUUAAAACGAACCCUAAUCUACUUUGUUAAUGAUGAUGCCUUGGUAUAAAGAAGGCUUGAUGAACGAAAGUAGUGAGAUUAGGGGAUCGGGUGCCACGUUUCGGUACCAGGAUAGUAUAUGAGGAUCGGAGUGUCACGUUCCGACACCAGGAUAGAAUAUGGAUCGGGUGCCACGUUCGGGUACCAGGAUAGUAUAUGAGGAUCGGAGUGUCACGUUCCAACACCAGGAUAGAAUAUGUAUCGGGUGCCACGUUCCGGUACCAGGAUAGUAUAUGAGGAUCGGAGUGUCACGUUCCGAUACCAGGUUAGAAUAUUGAUCGGGUGCCACGUUCCGGUACAAGGAUAGUAUAUGAGGAUCGGAGUGUCCCGUUACGACACUAGGAUAGAAUAUGGAUCGGGUGCCACGUUCUGGUACCAGGAUAGUAUGAUGAGGAUCGGAGUGUCACGUUCCGACACCAAGAUUAGUAAAGAGUAUGAAUCUUGAAACAUGUUAAUAUACUCAAUUUAAUGAACCUAAAUCCCAAAUGAGUAUGAUGGGGAGGCGUGAGUCCUCAUUGAUGAGCUUGGUGUUGUGACCAAGGGUUAUGGUAAUUGUAAAUGCCGCAUGUUGAGUAUUGUUGUUGAUUUUAUGAUAUUAUCUGACAUAUACUAUUUUCUAUUUUGAGUUGGCCGAUGAUAUCUACUCAGUAUCUGUGUUUUGUACUGACCCCUACUUGUAUGUUUUCUUUUUGUUCAUUGUGGAGUGCAGCAAACGUACCGUCAUCUUCAACCCAACCACAACUCUAGCUAGUCUUCCUCACACCAGAUUUCAGGGUGAGCUAAAGCUUCUAGCUUGGACUAGAUCUUCUUCUUCAUGUCUUGAUGCCUUGAAGUUCUGGCGUAGACUAGCUAUUAUUUAUGUUUAGUUUCUUAGAUACUCUUAGCUUUAGUAAUUUGACGAUAAUUGUUCUUGUGAUGAUGACUUCCAGAUUUAUGGGAUAAUAAUAGUUGUUGAGUUUUCAGAAAGUUAUUUAAUUGAUUUUCAUUAAUGAGUUUAAGUCUUCCGCAUUAUUUUCUGUUAUUAUGUUAAAUUAUUGGGGGUUAGAUUGGUUGGUUUGCUUUCAUAAGAGGGUAAGUGUGGGUGCCAGUCACGGCCCGAUUUGGGUCGUGACAAAGAUAUAUACAAACAGUGUGAACGAUAUUUAGGAUUUCAUCAAUCCAUAUUUGAACUAUGAAUUAAAAUAUCUAUAUUAGUGAUAUUCCAUAUUAGUAAUUGAAUUUUGAAUAUAUUUUAAAGGGAAAACCAAAGUAUCCCUUUAAAAAUUCUAAUCAAAAUCACAUAGAUAUACCUCAACUUAACUAUAGUACUAUGAUUCCNNNNNNNNNNNNNNNNNNNNNNNNNNNNNNNNNNNNNNNNNNNNNNNNNNNNNNNNNNNNNNNNNNNNNNNNNNNNNNNNNNNNNNNNNNNNNNNNNNNNNNNNNNNNNNNNNNNNNNNNNNNNNNNNNNNNNNNNNNNNNNNNNNNNNNNNNNNNNNNNNNNNNNNNNNNNNNNNNNNNNNNNNNNNNNNNNNNNNNNNNNNNNNNNNNNNNNNNNNNNNNNNNNNNNNNNNNNNNNNNNNNNNNNNNNNNNNNNNNNNNNNNNNNNNNNNNNNNNNNNNNNNNNNNNNNNNNNNNNNNNNNNNNNNNNNNNNNNNNNNNNNNNNNNNNNNNNNNNNNNNNNNNNNNNNNNNNNNNNNNNNNNNNNNNNNNNNNNNNNNNNNNNNNNNNNNNNNNNNNNNNNNNNNNNNNNNNNNNNNNNNNNNNNNNNNNNNNNNNNNNNNNNNNNNNNNNNNNNNNNNNNNNNNNNNNNNNNNNNNNNNNNNNNNNNNNNNNNNNNNAACAGUAGGUUAUUGGAUAGACUCAGUGUUACCAUUUCAUUUGCUAAAUCAAUAGUAUCUGAAAAUGGAACAAUUGAGUUUGCUAAGAGGUUUUGGAUACGAGAUAUGCAAACAGAUAUCUCUCCCAUCUCUCUCAAAGCUUUAACCUCCUGUAGAACGACUGUAGGGCCUGUGCCAAUUGUCCUGCCGAUACCGAUAGAAAUAUCGACUUUACAAAGGCUAGCGGGUGCAGGUUUAAGGUCCGUUCUCGCCUGAUGUCUACUCAGUCACCACGAUGGGAAAGACUAAAGGCGGCUGCUUGUAAACCAAACAGGUUACAUCUAUUACCUCUUGAAUUUGGAUUGGAAGGGCUAAAAGUAGCGCCUCAAUCCUUAUUUGAAGGCGAAAAUAAUAGAUUAUCUGCGUGAGGCUGUAAAGCCUAAGCAGAUACAAAUCUUUCCAAAAGAUUUGGUAUUUGAUGGAGAACGGGAAAUCCUUGAGCGGGCUGUUAUCCUUAAUUGGAUGAAACAGUGGUUGACUUGGCUUUCUUGGUAUCAUACUGUAGCAUUAUCACCAGAUGUGACCAUUGAUCAACUAUUUGAUGUUCCUAUGUGUGCCACUUCUUGGAAACGAUCAAACGAAGAUUAUGAAUUAAUCAAGUUUGGGUACGUUUGGAAGUGUUACGAUAUGGGAGCAGGUUGGAACCUUUCAACUACACCUAGGUGGUUGUUUGGUCCUCCAACUCUCAGUUUUAUAUUGGUUGAUCAAUAGGUAUUUGGUGGUCUUCACGGCAAGGAUCUCCUUAUCAGUCCUAAGGAUUUACCAUCCUUACGGAAAAUGGAUAUAGAUGAUAAGAAUUUAGGUGCAUCUGAGCACAUAAACCCUUUUGGUAAAAUUCCGCAAGGAAGGGUGACCAAGAGGGCGAUUGUGGUUGCAGUCUGGUUAACUGCUUCCACAAACACCCAGCCUGCUGAUAGGUAUUAUGUAAUAGAAGAAUCAGGAUCUGCGAGAUAUGGAUAUGAAACUGGAUAUGCUCGAACCGGACCGCAUCUCGAUUUGCACAUGGAUAAUCUGCUGUAUUACCCUAAAGAGUCAUACUCAUAUCCAGGGCAUUUUGUCCUUGAAAGAGCGUCAUCAGUCUAGCUCGUCAUGACUCGAUCAUGACCUUAGGCGGAAUUGGUCUUGGCCGGAAGAACGAAAGAUACCGGCAAGCACAGAGCAGCCGUCAAAAGGGGUUCCGUAGAGUGGUCUAACCCCAGGGUAAUCCUUGGAGCUUUCUCCAUGCCCGACAAAGAGAACUUGGUGUGAAUCGGGGUAGCUAGCUACCAGCUCGUCUAACUAAUGUACUGAUGUAAUUCCAUGCAAAUAUGGCUACCCGGCGAACAUGAGGUCCCACUCACUAUUCAUGGCCAGACAAAAAGGGACCACUAGCCUAGAGAAUCAAAUAGGGAAUAGGCCCUGAGUUCACCCGCUUGCCCGAAGAUGAAGGGGAAGAAAGGGAUGCCAGGGACAGAGUAACCGGAGGGGGCAUGAAAUGAACCCGGAAGGGAAGCCACAGGAGCAGGAGUGGAGAGAAAGCGAAAGAGGAAAGGUGUUUUCCCAUUCGAUUGAUCGAUUCAGAGUCCCGAACCGAAGCCCAAGCCCAUACUCUGACUAAGAAAAGUGGAAGUUCCUACCCUGGGAACAUUGACAUACGAUCUUCCGGAUUAGGGAGCAGAGUAUGAACCUGAAACCAAUAUGAAAGAAAGUCAUCAAGCAAGAUAGCAAGUGUCAAGUGUAGGUCUCCCAUUCUAUUACUGGGAGUUAGAACAUGAAAUGAAGAAGUAAUAAAGAACGUUACCGCCCCAAAUCUCAUUGAUUAGGUCUUCUGGAUCACCUGAUAAUCGUCUAAUCAAACAAAUGUCAUGACCUAAUGGACUUUAGGACUAAAGCAGAGAAAGAGAUGUCCUUGUCAGAGGACCGAGCCACUCGAACAAAGUGAGAUUAGCGGAAUGCAACUUCUUGACCGACGAGCUUCAAUAUGAGCUUCGAGAAAAGCAUGCAAAGCACACUAACCUAACUCAAUGAAGGCGACUGCCAGCACUGACUCAGACACACACGUGGGCGGUUGAGUAGUGGGUUGAUUUGAUCAGAAAAGUAGUAUACCUCCGACUGAAUCAAUAUCGCGUUCUCCUUUGCUGCUAUGAAGGAAAGCGGUAUGGAUAGGAAAGCACAAGUUCCGAGUAAGCGGCUUAUAAAGUCUUCUCUUGUACCUGGACCGUCGGCUUAUAUCUUCGGCUUAGUUGGAAAACCCUCCUAUCGCUAAAAAGCGAGGUUUUCACCAGCACUUGAGCUAGUAGCCACUUUCUUAGAUAGGGCUUUCGGCUAGUUUGUGUAAGCGUCUUUGUAAGCAAUACCCCGAAAACUCCGACAAAAGAGAUUGAAUGCCAGGUUAGUUCACUUAUUUCGGGCAUCAUCUUACGUCAUUCGUUAAAGCGCUUUCUAUAAGCCUUUAAUUUAAGGACGUUUUAAAGAAGAGAAAAAGUUCCGCCUUGUCCUUAGAUAGAAGAAGAAGAGGAGAAGCAAGAAUGGCAAUAACCUCCGCUAUUUCCGCUUCGGAAUUGCUACUAGAAGGGAAAAUCUCUUUAGAGAAGGAAAGUCCUAAUGAAAGCUGGAAGGUAAGUCAAUUCUUUUAGGAUAGAUCGAAAGUUCCAUCGAUUUAGGUGUAGGAGGAGUAAGGGCUUUUAGCCUAGGAAGACGACGGUGCUAGAGAAUCAGUGAUUGGGGGAAUAAUGAUUGUCGAAGGGAGGUAGCGGUCUAAGCCUCUUAGGCUUGGCACAGGAACUCUUCUCUCACCCGCUGGAAGGAAGUGAUGUGACCCUGGUAGGAUGAAUUGAAUUAGCUAACGAAUCUUCCGUAAUGCUUGCAAAGAAAUCAGAAGAAAGGCUUCUGCCCCUUGGCGACUCGGAACGAAUGGGAAGAAGUGAAUCAGAAAUGAACUUAUAUAAGAGCGCUUAUUCCGCUUCCUUCUACUCUUGAAAGGUGACACUUUCACGACGUUGGAUAAAUACCAUUUGAAGUUAAGGAGCUAACCUCCAACCUCUUCUUUAAAGCUAUCUAAGAGUGGUUGGGUAUCUGCCUUAAGGCUUAGAAAUCCUCGACCUUAUGAUACAUUCGGUAAGCAGCGCCUCCCCAGCCACAACAACCCCCCGUUCACCAGCCUCCUAUACAAGAGCAUACUGGUGAACAUAUGUCUCUGGAAAAUUGGGAGCGGCUUCUUCAAAAUCACAAGGAGGUUGCCGCGGUGAUUCAAGAGAUUCACCGGGAACUCCACACACGCGUUCCGGGGGGUUUUCAAGCCGAGCGCCUCACAGAAAUGCUGGAGGAGAGACACGGGGGGGAAAGGAUGGGGGAAAUCCUCCAGAGUCUCCAAACGGAGAGACGCCAUAGCCCCUACUUUCGGGAAGUCCAAACGGAUUUCCGAAACUUACGGGGUUCUGGAGGUACGGAGAUGCAACUGCGAAAGGAAUGGCAGGGGCGCGCAUGACCCCUCCAGUCAAGAAUUAGGGCCUUACAAUCACUAGCCAAUAUGCUUUUCUCUCAUGCCUUUCUUCGUUCAUGGUUCGAUGAUUCUUCUUCGCCUUGUUGUGUUGGCUUGUUCAAUCAAUCUCAUAGGUUCCUAUGGCUCGUCCUAUAAGAAAGGGGAUAUACCAUAACCAUAGGGAAGUAAAGGUGCGAAAAAGAAGCUUUUUCUGAGCGUAUAUAGUGGUAUAGUCCUUAAUGCGCAGGAGCAAGAAAAGGGAUGCGCCUUACUAAGCAAGAAAGGGGAAAUUGAAGACUGAGAACAUACGAGGUCGGCACUAAGAGACUGACUUAAGAAAUUACUUAAGUCAAGUUCUUGUGCUAUAUAUCGUUCGUGAUCCUUCGACAUUAUUGAAGGGAGGGGGCUCGACCUGAAGCCUUUAAAUAGAGUCCCAUCCGCCUCCCCGGUUCCACGCGCCCUUACUAGUAAAGGCUCCCAUUGGGAGAAGCAGAAAUUGUUGAGUGAGCGAUCCGGCCUCUAGCCCUUCAAUGAUGGAUUUGUCUUCAAAAAAACCCCGACCUCGGUAGAAAACGAACGGCGGCGUGAAGUUGAUGAGCAGGGAAGAUGUCUUUUUUCUAGUUGGCCAAGCGGCCCCGUCUUCCAUAGCCAGGGAUUAGUCAUUUAAGGAUCAGUUGAUGCGCUGGGAUGAAAGAAAGUUCUUCGGUGCUCCUCCGGGACGAACAGUAAAGGCACAUGAAGGUAUUGGCUCUUACUAUCGAUCGGAUGGAGAGAACCGCGGCGCUUUACCUUACGAAUAUCUAAAGGCGAAGAUCUCUUUUCGACUAGCAAGUUUACGUACCUAGGUCCUAAGUUUCUCAUUACUCGGUGAAGUCUGAUUUGAGCCCUGGUCAAACUGAUCUCUCCGGCGGGCGGAGGAUGGUCUCAUAUUAGCAAUGUUUUGAUUGCGCCUAUCUGUCGUUGCCAAUGAACCGAUCACCAAGAGAAAGUAUCUCUCUUAAUCUUAAGGUGAAGCGCCUUUCAGCCAGCUGAAGGAAGGUCGCGUUAGCGCCCCUGCAAUCAGAAAGCCUUUUGAUAACCUUACUACUAAUAGAAAGGGGAAAGAUGCGCUCAAUCCCUUGCUUCUUGCUCCAACUUAGGAGUAGGGGCUGACGAGCUUUUUCCGCAGGCUGCUAUGCUAGUUGUAGCGCGGUAGCGCUUUACUAAUAUAAUAGAAAGUCAAGUUAGUGUUAUGGUGCAGCGGAAGGCCCCCUCUCCUUACAGUCAAGUGGCUGAACGCCCCUCGAAUCUUCCUUGAGUUGACGUCACUGGGACAUCUACCGCUUGGAUCCUGCCUUGUUAGUCAUCCGUAGAGCUAAAGGGAAUUUUGGAAGCCAUUCCCAUUCCCACACACCAAUACCAACCAGGGUGGCUGUUCAGUAAGUCCUACCCCUAAGAGAAAGGAGAAAUUGCUUGCGCGCUUCGUCAAGUAAGAGAGAGGAUCUUAGGCCGAACAGAUCACCGGCUCCGAAGGCCUGCAAUCGUGACUUUAGUUCCGGUGGUUCGCUUUGCUGCCGGGGUGCAACAUUUGUGAGACUUCGAAUGGAGUGGUCCGUACGCCCCUCCCCCUCGCCAAGCCUGAAGAAAGGAGCAACUUAGAUACCUCUUUGUUAACUAUAUUCCUGGUUUGCUAAAAGGGUCCUUGGGCCCAAUCAAUCUCUAUACUCUUGAUGCAAUGGACUCCCCAAAGCCACUAAACCGCUCUCUUCCACCCGAUUUGAACUGAACCUCGUUCUAGUGAUAUUUUCUCCCUUUUGAAACUGAAACUCAGUUGCCUAUCUGAUCCUUGGUCUAAUUGGGCCUUUCUCUAUAGCUCGAAUCGAAUAGCUGGGCUAGCCCUUCCCCUGGCUUGGUUGGUUAUAUAAGAGAAUCCCGGGAGAAAGCAAGUUAGACCUUACUUAGGGCGAAAGAUUUCUUGGAUGGUUCAUUCCAGUCUGAAGUCAGUCAAGUCAUGGAAUUGACAGAAGUUCCCCCUUAACCAACCCUAAGAGGGAAUUCUUCUAUUCAUUAAGAUGAAGCCAUUCAGUCAGCUCUGAAUCUGAACUCAAUGAUUGCAAUUCAAGAAGGGCAUGAAGCUUUGGCUCAGUACAGUAGCAUUUGACUUUGGGAAAGAGAAUCGAUCGCUUACCUUGUUUGGCAUGCCAGAAGCAUUUCGCUGUGGUUCUCAUUGAUUGAGUCGAUCCAGAGACAAAGCAAAGGGAGUUCCGUGGGUUCAGUUUGCUUAGAGGCAGAAGGCCUAGAAGAGGCCUAGAAGUCAUAAGGAAUAGGCUUUUUGGUACUAGCUUGAGGAAGAGAGAAUCCAUAGGUCAAACUAUUUGCAACAACUUCUUCGAAAUAGGGGUCUUAUUAGAACCUUUUUUCCGAACCGGAAGGUACAUCUUCUAAUCCUGCCAUUCUCCAUACUAUUAUUAUGGAUAUGGAGAAUUUUCUUAGAAAUCGCAUUGCUUUUCUGGAGAAUAACUCGACCAUCUGUCUCCCUGAUCAAGAUAUAGGUGUAAAGGGGCAAUAAGGUGUUUACCAUAAGGGGCAAUAAGCGCCCUUUCUUUAAUAAUAUUGUAAGCGACGUAUUCCCGCUCGGGGAAGAAUGAAGUGAAACGGAUUCGGGACCGUAUCGAAGCAAUGAUAUCUGGAAAUGUAUAGAUAGAAGUAAGAAGUGCACCUGGACUAUAGAGCUCCUCACCCACUAAAAAGAGAAGAGGCCGGGGAGGAUCGAUACACUUCGUUGUCCAUCCCAUGGACAACUCCUUCCUCUUAGGGCUGUCGGGGAGUCCGAGGCGGCUCCAACCAAAAGUAGGAAACUGAGCGAAGUAAAGUAAUCAAAGAGGAAGUCAGUGCUAGUAGUAAGGACUUGUCACGAUCCAUUGGGGCACAUAGAAUCUAUGUCCUAGGUGUGGACGAAGACCGAGACUUCUCUAAGAUCCGAUUCGAUGGUAUAUCCCUCUUCUAUUGUUCUUAGACGGAUCUCUCACUCUUGAUGAAGAAAAAGACUUCAGCUUUAAAGAUCCGAUCUUGUCUUCACUCACCGAUUCCUUUAAUAAGAGGAAUGCCCGGAAUGCUUGGUACCCUUUUUCUUGCUACUGGUUUAUUCCUGUCCCACUUCUGCUUUCCUCACUCCCCGGCUUGCUUGCGUAGUAAAAAGAAAGAAAGCGUCUAUGGCAGAUGGAAUACGAGAUCUAGGCAAGCCUUUCUUCCUUUGUUAACUUAAAGGCUAUGUAGAAUCCUAGGUUUCGCUUUAUAAUACCAGUCAUUAGUUCCGGCUAUCGCUCCAAAGUGAUAGCGCCAUCGAAAGAUAGAGUGUCAAACAGUCAAACUUCGAUACCUAAAUUCAUUCAUCCAAAGGCUUUUCCAUUCCCUGAUCCGUGCCUCCUUGCUUUAACUAAGACUUUUUGAAUAGUGGCUUGGCUGGCUUUCGAGUUGGGAAAGAUAAGAAGAGCUUGACCGAUCCAUUCUGAAGGGAAGAAGCACACUGCUUAAGAUAUAAAGCGCAGUGCAGCCACCCCGACUUCCGUCCUAUCCUAAUAACAGACCUGGAUAACAGGUAAGCUCCAAUACAUAGUUCCUUGGUUAGACUGUCAGUGAUAAUGAGAAGAACCUUCUUCAGAUAACCUCCUCGAGGAACUUUUGGCAUCACUACCUCAUGGCAAGCUUACUGAGUAUCCACCACAUCCCUUUCCAAAGAUUCAUUCUGAUUGGUUUUUGCCAUGAACUCUCUUGGCAAAGUCAGGAUCAUCUUGCAAUCCACCUUAUCCGGUAAGUUACCUAACAGAACUUGAAACUUUGGCUCAUUUUCUUUAUUCUUUAACCUGGGUCUGACUGCUUGACUCACCAACCUUCAAGUCUUCCUCCAUCAGGUCAUCUUCCGGAACCAAGCCUUCUGAAAGAAAGCUCAUCAGAAAACUCCGUUGACGAGGCCUGUCCCUUCUCCAGCUUCUUGUGGUCUUUCCCAGCCUUACCUUCUGCUGGGUACUUUACCAUCAGACCAACAUUCUGUUUCUUCUCUGCUUCAGUCUGUAUUUUCAAUUCCAUUACCUUCUUCCUCAGCAUCCUCCUUUUCUGGGUCCUUGUCAGCUUAGAUGAUUUCUGUUAUGCUGGACUCUCUCCUACAGCCUCCUUCUCAGGUCUCGGUUUCUGUGCGGCAUGAACCCACUGAUCAGUUGGUGGGACAGUAGACGGUGUUUGAAAUAACCAUUGUUUAUUCAAUCGAAAUCUCAUAAGAGAAGAAAGCUUUUAACGUGGGUCGGCGUAUAGCCCACUCCAUUCUAUCUAUGACGCAUCGGAUCAACUGAGAGAAAUCCUGAGUAACGAGAGAGAUUCUCCACACGAACGAACGACCCGCCAAGUUCGAACUGACAUAGGUGAAUCGGACCAACACCUAUCAACCACCAACAAGGAGUCGCUUUGGUUACGCAGUUUGGUUAGCAGGCAGGCCGCUUAUUACUAUUAUACAUUCCCUUUUCUUGCAGGUAAUCAUAAUGUGUUAUUAGGUAUUUUAUAGUAUAUGAUAAAUAUAUCUUGUUAGGUGUUAAUUCUUUAUAUAGUAAGACUCAUAUGAUAUUAGGUAUUUAUAUUCCACUUCAUCAGUGCGGAUACGCUUUGAACAAGAAAAAGUAUACGAUACGAGCGAGAAGAAAGAGAGUGAAUUAGAUAGAGUUACCUACAGAAAGUCAGACAAAGGAUGAGAAGGAAUGGGUAAAAAAGCUUCCUGGCUAAGAAAGAUAAAAGCAGAAGAACAAGUGAUAAGGGCAUUAGGGAUAUAUAGUUAACAUAUCAUGCUUGGAAGCUGCUACCACUAAGACUGAUUAUGAACCUUAGAUCAAGUAUAUGAUAAUAUUUAUUGUUAGGUAUUAAUUUUAUAUGAUAAGUAUCAUAUGAUAUGAGUUAUUAGGUAUUUUAUAGUAUAGGAUAAUAUAUGUUGUUAGGUAUUUAUUCUAUAUGGUAAGUAUCAUAUAUUAUGAAAAAUAAUACCUAUUAUCAUCAAGAUAUAUAUAUUUAUUAUUAACGAUAUCAGGAACCCUCUAAAUCCUCUACAGCAUCAUACCAAGAUACGCUAGAUCUCCAGCACUCUAACAUGAUUCCUAAACCACCUACCCCUCCAACCGUAACAAAUAUACACUACUACAUAUAUAAAUACUCUCUCUAAAGGAUGGAUUAAAUAUAAUGUUCAUUUUUUAAGGAUUCUCACUUCUCUCUAAAGGGUGGAUGAUACACUAUGUUCAUUUUAAAGAUUCUAGAGAAUUUCUUUAUCAAACUCAUUUUCUAAGAGAUAUAGAGAUAUUGUAGUAUACUACUAGGGAUAACUUGUGCUCUUAUUCUUCUGUCAAAAGUAGGGAAGAGCAAGUGUCUGAUCAGAUCAAUCAAGCGAUAGGGGCAGAGACUUUACUUCGCUAGGACGGAGUUGCUGUCGAUUGAGGAUUGGCCGAGGGCCCUUUUUUCUUUUAUAAGGGAAGAGAUUGUAGCUGGGUACAAAUAGGCCGGUGAAAGACGAGUAGGCAAGCACGCGGGUUGUACCGGUCAGCUUUGAGCUGUCGAGUGACGAUUGGCCGAGGGGACUUCCAUCAUGUAGCUGGGUACAAAUAAGCCAGUUAAAGACGAGUAGGCAGGGCGUUAGGCUAGUGCCAGUGGGGUACGUAAACGAGGACAGAUCACAUGGUUUUGUACUGGUCAGUUUUGAGCUGUCGAGUGACGAUUGCUCCAUCUCUUAAGAAAGGACGCGGGGGGCCUGUCUUAUAAUAAAGGGGGUACUCUCUUCUCUGAUGUGCGCUAUAUUAUUGUGUCCUAUUCCUUAAGGAGUGAUCCGGGAUUAAGCCACGUGGCGAUACCCGCCAAAAGAAAGGGGGCCUUGAGUACUCAAAUGCGUACGAGGAAAGGACAAUUAUUCAGCGCACUUAAAUCUAGUGGAUGGGGUUCCAUAUUCAUGAAAAGCCAGGUUUGAACCAUGUUACGGAACCAAGACAACCUAUCUUACUAAUAAUAAGAAAGGGUUAAGGGCCUCCAACGCCUAUAAAUAGAAGCUUCUUUCUCUAUUUGGCAAAGCAAAGGGAGAUAUGGAUCCAGCUACCACUGAAAGACUUUCUCAAAUUAAUCAAAGAAUUCUAAAUGUUGAAAAUGAAAGGCGCGAACGUCAGCAAACGCUUCAUGCUUUUUUAGAGCAUGUGCCUGCUGUUUUUCCGGAGCUGGUGGAACAACGCAUUCAACAGCUCCUUAACCAAAUUCAAACCCUGGAAGAAGAGGGGAGGACCCUUUCCCGAGACAGGGAAGACCUUAUUGUUAGGAUGGCCUUCCGCAUCCGCGGCGGAAACAACUAAGAGUCAGUCGACUCUUUGGAGUUUAAGAAGGUUUAAAUAAGUGUCUGUAGACGCAAAGUAGUGUGUUUCUUCUUUUUCUUUGUUUAGUGGAGAUCUACUCCUAUGCUCAGUGUCUUUGUUGUGUUUGCAUGUAUCACUAGUAGUCUUCAAUGCUUCCGUUGUUCACUUUGUAAUGUUGUGUUUAGUUGUGUGGCUGGUCUAUGUGUGUGUAAGCUUCCUAUUUGAUGUAUUCCCAUGUAACGGCUAUUAAUGAAAAAAAUCCGCUUUGUUCUAGUUCAUUCUCUUUCCCUGUUUUGUGCAGAAAAAUUGUUGAUUUGAAUUCUUUUUGAAAUCUCGUUUUUUUCUUGUAAAUUUCUCACAUAUACAAGCUCAAACUACAGCCAAGAGGGUGGAAGUUGUGUGUUUACAGUCACUCUCCUAUAUCCUAUAAUAGCAUAAGCAUAGCAGAAAGCUUCCAUGCCUCGCUAUCCUAUCUUUAAAACCGACACCGAAGGAGUUGAACGUAGUGAAAAGAGUCGUUUCUUUGAUGAAAGACGCCACAAAGCUAGUAUAGUUAUCGCACACCUGAUCUUCUUUCUGAUAGGAAUGAUCACCUUCUAAACAAAAUAGGAGUGAGAAUUCCCCAACGAACGGAAUAAAUGAGUGAACAAGCACCGAAAGGUGUGCGUUAGUGAAACGAAUAGCUCAGUCCUAGCGGACAGGACAAAACUUCCCUUGGAGAAAGCCAGCCUGAGGGAACUGGAUUGGUCAUUCCACCAUCACUCGAUUAUAGAGGGUUGGAGCCCUCUCUCUGAAAGCCCUCUUGAUGCGAUGAGAAAAUGGCUAGUAUUCAAGGCUAGUCCCAAGAAAGCAAGCUAAAGGGCUAUCCCGAUAAGAAGAUGAAGCCUGAUCGGGCCAAAAAUGAAAGCAAUCGAAGGAAGGGGUAGAGCAUGUUCUAUUUUUCCGAAUCUUUCAAGAUGAAAAUAGAGGGAUUGGCUUAACUUCCUCUAUGCGGUUGCAUACAGCUUUGCUUGAGUAAGGAGUAGGCCAUUCCAGAUAGGCUGCUUUUGCUAUUACUGAAGCUUUUAAGAAAAAGACCUUUCCUUUAUGAUAUUAAGCUUUAUGAUAUUAAGGAUUUUUCCAAUCAUUAGAGUGGUGUCAUCCCCUUUCAUUCAUGUCUGAUGGAUAAAAGCCCUUGGGCCUUCGUUCAUUUUGUUUAAGAAGGCUGCGACAUAUACAGCAUCUUUCCAUAGACUUUUUCUUGCCUGGAUGAAAAUUCAAUAUAUGAAUAGUCAUUCCCUCACAAAUUCUUUAUUUGAAUAUCUUUGCUUUGUUCGUUCUACAGAUAUAGAUUAAACUGCCUUUCUUGGCACCAUCCCUAUUCUGAUGGCUCAGUACAAGACCGACGGAAGAGAAGAGGUGAAAAGGCUAGCGAGGCAGAAUUCUUUUUCUCUUUCAUAGCGCCGCACAAUGGAGACAUUGUAGUGCUAGACCAGAUUUACCAGCGGACAGUUGAAAAACGAUACGACCCAGGACCAAUUCUGGUUCUUCUUUCUAUCAAAAUAAAUCGAAUUCGAAAGAGCGGGGUCUUACUUAUUCAGGGGGGAUGAAAGACAAAUAAAGGGAUCAGGGGGCUUUAUGAUCGGAGAAAGAGAAGGGGCGUGGUUGGUGUGUCACUGGGUCGGUGGGGGAACCCGUAGGAAGGGGGGACGACCCGCCGAAUUCACAUCAGAAAUCGCCAACAUGAACACAAACGAAAUCUUGAAUUGCGUAUAGAAAGAAAACGAACCACUUCUAUUCUCGGAGCUGAGGUAUAUGAAGAAUGGCUUUUUGGUCCCUUUCGUCCAGUGGUUAGGACAUCGUCUUUUCAUGUCGAAGACACGGGUUCGAUUCCCGUAAGGGAUAGGUACUCAUUCCCGGCCGCUUUCAGUUAGUGUUCAUUGCUGAGUGAUCGCUCGCUAUCUGGCUGGAAAAGAUGGUCCGGAAGCUUCCUCUCUCCCAGCAAGCAAGACGAGAUCACCACUUCUCUCAGUAAUGGACUUCCUUUACUUCGUAACCUUAGCCUUAGAUGUCCUUUCAUAGAUUCUCGAACCUCCGACAGACAGAAUCUCCAUGCAUGCGUUCUUUCUCUCCUCCCCUCAGCCAUACAUCCCUUUUUUGCUUUUGGCCCUUUUUGUUAGGCAUUGAACCCCACCCCACGGAGCGGUGCUGAGUGGUGUCCUCCCCUCCCUAAUACCUAAACAGAGUUCCGUCUAUGGAGCCUAAAGCUUAAACCAUGGCAGUAAGCAGUAAGUUGGCCUAGUCUCUCGCCCAGCCUUCGCCUUCUUCAGUGGCCAAGUUGAAGCGUUCAACGUCGGCCUACCACCUUUUUUUUUCAAGGUUGAGCUUGUUCAAUUGAAGCUAAUGCUAUGCUGCCCUUCCCUUGUUCAAGAGAAAGCGAGGACUUUCUUUUAGCUACCGGCCCAAACAAAAGAGAUUAGCCUCUUGAUCGAUCGAUUGAUUGGAUCGAAGUACGAAGGGGUUGAUUGAAGUCUGAGAUCAGCCCAAGACUAAGGCCGAGCAACUAGCUGCUGCAGGAUUGGACGUCUAUCUAUCUCACCACGCUCCCCUACUCCUAUAAAGGCCGGCGGAAGGAAUGCUCUGCUCAUCUUUCUUACGGCUCGUUACCGCAGCGCUCGUUCACCCCUUCUGCUUCUUCCAUUCAAAAAAAAAAGGUAGUCUUUCCUUGGUAAAUAGCGUCUUGAAGUGAAGCGAAGGCAUUAUUGAAGGAAAGAAAUGGCGGGUCGGUCAAUUGCAUUAGGUAGGAGAUGCAGGACCUGUCUUAACCGCAAGUGCAUUCGCUAUUCGAUUCCAUCCUAAAUCCCACCAAUUCCAAAGUGUGUAUCUCUUCUUUACUUUUAAGUGACAAGGGGGGUGACAAAGGGUAUACUUUCUUCUCUAUGUCGCCGUCUCAUCAAUGAGCGUAGAUUAAUAGCCAAGCCUACCCUUUUGUGCUUGUCAAUCUGUAUCCCAUUCUUCAGGUAUAGUUUUCUUUGAUCACAGAUCGACAGGUGAUCCGUCCUUUCUCCCCCUUUCGUCAUAAGGCGUGGUCUGACUCUGAGAAAAGAAAUUCCUGUGUUUAGGUCCCUACUAAGCAGAAUUCGUAAACUAUGCAAAGGCUCUUUGAAGACUUUUUCAAAAGUUUUUAGCAAAAAAAGCAAAAACAAUUCUCAACGCCCUUACGAGGUAGUGAUGAGUUAAACUACUCGUGUUGGCAUGGAAGUCAGCCCGGUAAACUGAUUCCAUUCUGCUACUAGGGUUCCAAACCUUCCCCUGAGCUCUAGAAUCUAGAAAUACCUUUUCAACUCAAGAAAUGCUAAAGCUAUUUAGAGUUGGUAUUUCUAACUAAGUCGGAAGGAGGGCUUUGGGCAAAGAGCAACUCUCAAGUACUUUACUUCAGUCCCAGUACUGAAAGACGUGACUUCAGGAGUGGAUUUCGGAAGGAAAGACUUCGUUUACUUCCUGCAAAUUGCUUAUGUAAGAACUAGUAGAAAGAAAGGGGCGUUCCGCCACUUGACUGUAAGGAAAGGAAUUUGGAAAAAAAAAAGAAGUAAUUUCGUAUAUAAAGAUAUGGGUUUCCGGGCUUAGAUCGAAAUGGAAUCCCCGAAAACCGGGGCUGGAGUAUUAGACUUGUUCUGCUUCGAUAGAGGCACUGUAACCGUAAGUGGAAUAACAAUCAUUCGGCCGAUUGCUCUUAUCCUUCCUUCGCUGACACAGAAGAGAGAGAGCACUCCCCAAGCCAAGGAUGAGUGCCAAAGAGAAGAUGCGCAAGCUAGUCUAUCAGAAGGAGAAAGCGAGGGAGUGAGAUUUUAGGUUUCAUUAGGGUAGACUGAAGACCAAGCCAAUCUCGAAACAAAAAAGAAAACUUAUUGCAACUACGAACGUGAACAGAUGCUUUCUCAUUAGACUAUUUUAACCGAUUGUUUAUGUCGACCCUACGCUACGAUUCUUCUUCUCUUAUGAAAUUUCUAGUUAGAUGAACACUGCUCUGCUGCAUGACGGAGUGAUCUUUCCCUCUUAUGAAAGCCGGUAUCUCACUUUCGAAAGAGAGUCUCGACGUGGCGGUGUACACCUAGCUCCAUAGCUGGGCUAGUCACUGGCUAGAGGGCGACCGACCUACCGGACCGGAGGCAGCCGAGAAUGUUAUGUAAAAAGGACCAAGGAGGAUCCUAUCCUAAAGGAGAAGGAGGAGUAGGAGGAGUCAGUUUUCUUUGAAGAUCGAGGAACGUAGUGUCGGACAAUUAUGCCAUCAUGGGGAUUUCCACUUUUUUGUCUACUUCCAUCCGUAAUACUUGGAAGAAUUUUACGACUAGAAAAUAAGAUAAAAAAAAGACUUGAAAUCCUUUUAUUCCAUAUUGGAGUAGAAAUCCUUUUAUUCCAUAUUGGAAAAGUUAUCGUGGGUCUUGUUCUGGCAAAGGUCACCUUACACUUUGGGUAUCUGUUCGCGGAUGACCUAACUCGUGCUGUGAAUCAGUUUUACUCUCCUCCGUCGGGUGAAGGGUGGUUCAGUCAAGCGCCAACCCCGACUCCUCCACCAGAGAAUUCCGGUCUGGAGCUCAUUCCCGGUGCGCGAAUCGAAGGGGACGGCCCAGCCCCGGGUUCGGAAGGAGAGAAACUAAAAAAGCUCCAUGCCGUAGUCGAAGGGCAUCUUCGGAGAUACUGCGCUUCUGAGGAUGGAUUGAAAAGGUUCCCUUGUUUGAAAGAUAAAAACAAGGAAGAUUUCCAAUAUUUUGCGCAACAUUUUUCUAUUACGGAAUUGGACAUUGAUACAAAAAGCGAAGCGGAAAUCGCUUCGCUUUCUGCCUAUUUGGGUCCAUUUCGUAAAAUAGAAACACUAUUUCAUAUGUAUUUUGACAAAUACUUCGAGUCAGACUAGAGACUGAAGUAGAAGAGUAGAAGAUGGCCUGAGA
rnacentral:lncRNA from 1 species